GAUGAACGCUAGCUACAGGCUUAACACAUGCAAGUCGAGGGGCAGCAUUAUCGAAGCUUGCUUUGAUAGAUGGCGACCGGCGCACGGGUGAGUAACGCGUAUCCAACCUUCCCCAUAGUAGGGCAUAGCCCGUAGAAAUGCGGAUUAAUACCCUAUGUAUUCCGAGGAUGACAUCUGAUUCGGAACAAAGGUUCACCGCUAUGGGAUGGGGAUGCGUCUGAUUAGGUAGUCGGCGGGGUAACGGCCCACCGAGCCAUCGAUCAGUAGGGGUUCUGAGAGGAAGGUCCCCCACAUUGGAACUGAGACACGGUCCAAACUCC
rnacentral:rRNA from 1 species